rnacentral:lncRNA from 10 species
CUACGUAAAUGAACGUCGGUGGAUCCCUUGAGUUUUAAAUGUCUGAAUGGCAGCCACUAAUUCUGGCAUCUGAAGCUCUUGGAAGCCUACUCCUGUUGUUGCCACUGACUUCUAUGCCCAUUUAGUGGGGCUUUGGCUGUGGGAAUCAUACGCAGCACUGGAUGACGGAGCUCUCACCACAUGGGAUCUGAUGCUGUCUCCAGGUAGCUGGUGUUAGAACUGAAUUAGAGGGACAGCCUGGUAGUGGGAACAACACACAUUUGGUCACAGAAGUCAUCUGCUGUGUUGAUGAUUAUUGUGGUGUGAGAGCAGAGAGAAAACAGGGCUGAGUAUUUUCCCUAAACAGUGGUGUACAUUCAAAUCCCUGAUGAGGCU